rnacentral:rRNA from 1 species
AUUGAACGCUGGCGGCAGGCCUAACACAUGCAAGUCGAACGGUAGCACAGAGAGCUUGCUCUCGGGUGACGAGUGGCGGACGGGUGAGUAAUGUCUGGGAAACUGCCCGAUGGAGGGGGAUAACUACUGGAAACGGUAGCUAAUACCGCAUAACGUCGCAAGAUCAAAGUGGGGGACCUUCGGGCCUCACACCAUCGGAUGUGCCCAGAUGGGAUUAGCUAGUAGGUGGGGUAAUGGCUCACCUAGGCGACGAUCCCUAGCUGGUCUGAGGGGAUGACCAGCCACACUGGAACUGAGACACGGUCCAGACUCCUACGGGAGGCAGCAGUGGGGAAUAUUGCACAAUGGGCGCAAGCCUGAUGCAGCCAUGCCGCGUGUAUGAAGAAGGCCUUCGGGUUGUAAAGUACUUUCGGCGGGGAGGAAGGCGGUGAAGUUAAUAACUUCACCGAUUGACGUUACCCGCAGAAGAAGCACCGGCUAACUCCGUGCCAGCCGCCGCCGUAA